rnacentral:SRP_RNA from 13 species
GGGACUUUGCGGCCGUGUUCAGCGCGAAGGCGGCCACGAACGCCACCAGGAUCAGGAGGAAGCAGACCAGGC